AUUGAACGCUGGCGGAAUGCUUUACACAUGCAAGUCGAACGGCAGCACGGGGCAACCUGGUGGCGAGUGGCGAACGGGUGAGUAAUACAUCGGAACGUGCCCAAUCGUGGGGGAUAACGUAGCGAAAGUUACGCUAAUACCGCAUACGAUCUACGGAUGAAAGCGGGGGAUCGCAAGACCUCGCGCGAAUGGAGCGGCCGAUGUCAGAUUAGGUAGUUGGUGGGGUAAAGGCUCACCAAGCCAACGAUCUGUAGCUGGUCUGAGAGGACGACCAGCCACACUGGAACUGAGACACGGUCCAGACUCCUACGGGAGGCAGCAGUGGGGAAUCUUGCGCAAUGGGCGAAAGCCUGACGCAGCCAUGCCGCGUGAAUGAUGAAGGUCUUAGGAUUGUAAAAUUCUUUCACCGGGGACGAUAAUGACGGUACCCGGAGAAGAAGCCCCGGCUAACUUCGUGCCAGCAGCCGCGGUAAU
rnacentral:rRNA from 1 species